rnacentral:rRNA from 1 species
GGUUUGAGUAAAAAGAGUGACGAAUGGAGAACUAGGGUGCACUAAAGAGGACGGAGCCCCCCGAAAUGGCGGAGGAGAGACUUUGAAGCCCUAAUGUCCCGCGCGGCAACGCAGCGGGGGGGCCAGGGGAGCGAAACAUCCCAGUACCGGGCCCCCCACCCCCCCCUCCCACCCCAUAGUGGGUGUUUAGGGGGGGGCACAGUAAAAAUCAAACGAGAUUCCGUAAGUAGCGGCGAGCGAAAGCGGACGAGCCCUUUCCUGUAGGCCCCCCGGCCCUGGCCGGGGGGCGGGCGAGUAGUGAUGGGAAGAUGGGUGUCCACACAUCCAAGGCUUAACAAUUAGUGUCACACCGAAAGAGAGGAGUACUGUAAAGGAAAGUUGAAAGAGACUUGAAAAGACCUUGAAAUGAGUCACUUAAAGCAGUUGUAACACAACGUACCUUUUGUAUAAUGGGUCCACGAGAUAAAAUUUGGCAAACUUAAAGUGCAAUCUCACAGCCACCCCGCUGCGUUAUCGCGCGGGGAUGGCUGGGGGGAUUGUUCUUGGCCCCCUAAGGUGUAGUGAAAGCAAGGGGGGGGGAUACCCCCACCCCUCAGUCAAAUUUCCCGAAACCAAGUGAUCUAGCCAUGGGCAGUUUUUAGGAACGAACCGGUGGUUGUUGCAAAAAUCUCGGAUGACCUGUGGUUAGGGGCGAAACGCCAAUCGAACUUGGAGAUAGCUGGUUUUCUGCGAAAACUAUUGAAGUAGUGCGUGCACAGUAAUGAGUCGAAUAAUGUUAUUAUUCGAUGAGAAUGGCUUGGAAUGUGGUAAAGCCCGACCCCCCGAAGCCGGGGGAUUAACUAUGAAGAAAAAAAGCCAGAGUGGCACAGACAGACUGUGGGCGAUAAGGUCGACGGUCAAAAGGGGAGAAGCCCUAACCAGAAGUUAAAGUCAUUAAUAAAAGAUUUAGUGUAAAAGAGAUAUUGGGUUUAGACAAUGAAGAAGUAGGCUUGGAGCCAGCCACCUUUGAGAGAUGACGUAGCAGUUCACUCAAGAAAUUCUUUUAUCUCUAAAAUUAUGGUGGCUAAAGUUGAACUGAAACUCUGGGGGCGAAAUAACAAGGUGGGGUUCCCCUAGAUUAUGCAACCCUCAAGGGGGUUCUAUAAAGCUUAUGGGAACGAACCCCCCGUUAUAUUUGCCCGGUAGCAGAACGUACUGUUAAUUGUUCAGUGAGAGCCCGCACGGCAUCAGAAGUGAUAAUGUGGACAUGAGUAAAAAAUCAUAGGAUCACUCCCCCCCUGGUUUCCCAUAUUAAUUAUGGGGUUAAACAGCCCCUAAAAUCGCAGCCCCAAAGGUUGCGUUGAUGGGGGGCCAUGAGUAAUAGACGCACAAAGUGCCAGGAAAGAAUUAUUCAAGCUCUUCCCAGAAGGCAUCCUUCUGGCAAGGGUACUGUACUAAACUAACUAAAGUGGGGGAUAGUGAGGGGAUAAAUUUUCUUAAGGAACUCGGCAAAAUCCCAAUGGCCCACCAGGGCAUAUUGGAACACGGGCCUCGACUGUUUACCAAAAACAUAGCCCUCGGCCAAUAUGAAAAUAGAUGUAUAGAGGGUGAUGCCUGCCCAAUGGUUGUAUCUAAAAGCGGUUGAUAAAAGUCGACCUCGUAAGGACAAUUGAAUGGCCGCGGUAACACUGACCGUGAUAAUGUAGCGUAAUCAAUAGCCAAUUAAUUGUUGGCCAGUAUGAAUGGCGCCACGAAGGCCCCACUGUCUUAAGGAAAUUCCCAGUGAAAUUGAAUUCGUAGUGAAGAUGCUACGUCCAAUUUGUUAGACGAAAAGACCCCGUUGAGCUUUACUGGGGCACUUACACGGCCCCGGCCUUCCCGUGUUCGGGAACCGGCCGAAUUUAAAUGGGUGGUUUAGACUAUGUGGCAGCCCCCCGCCGGGGCAGAUGAAACCCCACUCCCCCAUGUCAAAGGGGCUAACCCUCCCCUUGGGGGGGACAGUGUAAGUAGGACAGUUUGGUUGGGGCGACCGCCUUUUAAAGAGUAACGAAGGUGCGCUUAAGGUGCGCAAUUAAUGACUGAAGCCUGACUGCGAGGGGGACACCCCGAGCAGACACCCCUAAGCCCGCCCGAAGGGCGGCGGUGGGGUGGGCCAUAGUGACCCGUUAAUUUAGAGUGGAAUAGUUAACGAUCAACGAAUAAAAGUUACCACGGGGAUAACAGCGUAAUAUCGUUAGAGAGUUCACAUCGACGACGAUGUUUGCGACCUCGAUGUUGAAUUGCGGCAUCCUGGGGUGCAGCCGCUCCCAAGGGUUGGUCUGUUCGUCCAUUAAAGCCGUACAUGAUUUGAGUUAAAAGCGUGGUAACACAGCUUGGUUUCUAUCUACAAAUUGAAGAAACAUCGAUAUAACUAUCUUCUAGUACGAAAGGACCGAAGGAUUAGUGAUCCUCUUAUUUUUUAUAAGUUACGAUCAACCCAUUGAUCAUCGAACCCUAGGGUUCGAUAGGUCUCUCAGCUAAUCACUGACCGCUUCUAAAGUGGGAAAGUCAUAUCGAAAUGUUUGGGCCCAUUAUAGAGGGGCUAAACCCCACCAUCACGAGUGAUGGUGUAGAAGCAGCAACGCGGCUUCCCAUCCUUUUAAAGAGCCGCCUUUAUCCUAUCGGGGUUAAAUCUGAUAGGCUCUCUAAUUAGA